rnacentral:ncRNA from 2 species
CAGGAAGCCGGUGUGAAUCCGGCACGGUCCCGCCACUGUGACCGGCGCCCUCGGGCGCCGGGAGCCAGGAACUG